rnacentral:lncRNA from 1 species
GCAUGAAAAGUUCGAUCUACAUCAUGUUCUCUUGGCACUCAUAAGAACUUGGGUAUCAUACUUUAUACCACUUCUUUAAGAAUCCAACUGAUUAACAUUGCAGUAAAAUUCUUUCCUCCAGCUUCUGGCUCCUAUGCAAGAAUCUAAAUUUCAACUUGUGAAGGGAGCAAUGAUGAUUUGAUUCCAUAUAUGGCCUUAUACAUGCUUCAUCUUAUGCUUAUUGUGGUAAUCAUUCUCAGAGUGACAUGCAUUUACUAACAUAUGAACUCUAUUUCAUGUCAGAAAGUGUA